rnacentral:rRNA from 1 species
UUUAGAGUUUGAUUCCCUGGCUCAGGACGAACGCUGGCGGCGUGCCUAAUACAUGCAAGUCGAGCGGGGUUAUUUUUUCGGAGUCCUUCGGGAUAAAGAAGCUAUAACCUAGCGGCGGACGGGUGAGUAACGCGUGGGUAACCUGCCCUAGAGCCCGGGAUAACAGCGAGAAAUUGUUGCUAAUACCGGAUACCUUCUUUUAAAGGCCUCUUUGAAAGAAGAAAGGAAACGCUCUAGGAUGGGCCCGCGUCCCAUUAGCUAGUUGGUGAGGUAACGACUCACCAAGGCGACGAUGGGUAGCCGGCCUGAGAGGGUGGGCGGCCACACUGGGACUGAGACACGGCCCAGACUCCUACGGGAGGCAGCAGUAGGGAAUAUUGCGCAAUGGGGGCAACCCUGACGCAGCGACGCCGCGUGAGUGAUGAAGGUCUUCGGAUCGUAAAGCUCUGUCCUCAGGGAAGAAGAAUGGACGUACCUGAGAGAAGCCCCGCA